rnacentral:lncRNA from 1 species
AUGGUUAGACAACAACAAAAUGCAGUUGCUACAGUGCACGAGGAUGACCACGGAAAACAAUGUCUCUAUUCAGAGAUAUUUUUAAACUUAGGUGUUAUUCAGUGAUAUGAUAUGAUUUCAUCACAUGUGCUGGAUGAUUUCACUCAACAUCACAAUUUUCAACAUUAGUUAAUUUAAUGAAGGUUUACAUUAUUAUCAUUAUCACUACCAUCUUUAAUUAUUAAUUUAAUCAU